AACGAACGCUGGCGGCAUGCCUAACACAUGCAAGUCGAACGAGACCUUCGGGUCUAGUGGCGCACGGGUGCGUAACGCGUGGGAACCUGCCCUUAUGUUCGGAAUAACUCCCCGAAAGGGGUGCUAAUACCGGAUAAUGUCUUCGGACCAAAGAUUUAUCGCCUUUGGAUGGGCCCGCGUUGGAUUAGCUAGUUGGUAGGGUAAAAGCCUACCAAGGCGACGAUCCAUAGCUGGUCUGAGAGGAUGAUCAGCCACACUGGGACUGAGACACGGCCCAGACUCCUACGGGAGGCAGCAGUGGGGAAUAUUGGACAAUGGGCGAAAGCCUGAUCCAGCAAUGCCGCGUGAGUGAUGAAGGCCUUAGGGUUGUAAAGCUCUUUUACCCGGGAUGAUAAUGACAGUACCGAGAGAAUAAGCUCCGGCUAACUCCGUG
rnacentral:rRNA from 1 species